UUCCUCACUCUUCUCUCCAUUUCUGACUGACUGGCUACAUUGGAGCAAAACCUUAAGAACCUUUUUCAUGGAUGGUCUGGUAGAAGGUUGUGUGCCAGUACAAUAGAGUCCAAGUCU